AACGGGAAAAGGGGGACAUGAAAAGCAAAACAACUCCUCUCUCCAAUAAUCCCAAAUCCUGUUUCUUCAUUGAUUAUCUGUCUCCAUAUGAGUCGUCUCCUUUGUAAAACUUGGUCCUCUUUGCAGUUGAUUUGGUGUUGAUUUGGUUGGGAUAUAGAAUCCCUAAUUUCAGAAGUGUUAACAUUGCUCAUUUGUUACUACUGCGCUGCGCCUCCUUCUCUGUGUCUCUGUCAUUUCUUCUUGGCCCAUGGCUUCCAAUUCUAAGUCUCAAAAGUCAGUGAAGAAUUAUUUUACCAAAGUUUCAAAAUCAAGUUUGGACUCUCAUGAUCAACCUAAUCUAGAAGAAAAUGUCAAUCACUCAGAAGUACCAUUGCUUUCUUCUCAGGAAUUUGAUUUGAAUUCUUUAAAGCAUGAUCCGGGUGAAAGAACUCAAAUCUUGGACUUUCAUCCAAAUCAUCGUGAUGUCAUUCGAAGAGAAUACCUUAGGAGAGGUCCUUGUCAACCUCGGCUUAAAGAGUAAUAUACUUGCACUUUCAAUAGAGAAUUGUGUUUGUUUGA